GAUAAACGCUGGCGGCGUGCAUAACACAUGCAAGUCGAACGAUGAAGAUUAAAAGAUUUCUUCGGAAUGAACUUAAUUGGAUUAGUGGCGGACGGGUGAGUAACGCGUGAGUAACCUGCCUUGUACAAGGGGAUAGCCGUUGGAAACGACGAAUAAUACCCUAUGACAUCAAAUAAUCGCAUUAUAGUUUGCUAAAAGAUUUAUCGGUAUAAGAUGGACUCGCGUCUGAUUAGCUAAUUGGUAGAGUAAAAGCCUACCAAGGCAACGAUCAGUAGCCGGCAUGAGAGAGUGUACGGCAACAUUGGGACUGAGACACGGCCCAGACUCCUACGGGAGGCAGCAGUGGGGAAUUUUGCACAAUGGGGGAAACCCUGAUGCAGCGACGCCGCGUGAUUUAGAAGGCCUUCGGGUUGUAAAAAUCUUUUGUAUGGGAAGAAAAUGACAGUACCAUACGAAUAAGGACCGGCUAAUUACGUG
rnacentral:rRNA from 1 species